rnacentral:rRNA from 1 species
GCUGGCGGCGUGCUUAACACAUGCAAGUCGAACGAUGAAGCCGCUUCGGUGGUGGAUUAGUGGCGAACGGGUGAGUAACACGUGGGCAAUCUGCCCUUCACUCUGGGACAAGCCCUGGAAACGGGGUCUAAUACCGGAUAACACUCUGUCCCGCAUGGGACGGGGUUGAAAGCUCCGGCGGUGAAGGAUGAGCCCGCGGCCUAUCAGCUUGUUGGUGGGGUAAUGGCCUACCAAGGCGACGACGGGUAGCCGGCCUGAGAGGGCGACCGGCCACACUGGGACUGAGACACGGCCCAGACUCCUACGGGAGGCAGCAGUGGGGAAUAUUGCACAAUGGGCGAAAGCCUGAUGCAGCGACGCCGCGUGAGGGAUGACGGCCUUCGGGUUGUAAACCUCUUUCAGCAGGGAAGAAGCGAAAGUGACGGUACCUGCAGAAGAAGCGCCGGCUAACUACGUGCCAGCAGCCGCGGUAAUACGUAGGGCGCAAGCGUUGUCCGGAAUUAUUGGGCGUAAAGAGCUCGUAGGCGGCUUGUCACGUCGGAUGUGAAAGCCCGGGGCUUAACCCCGGGUCUGCAUUCGAUACGGGCUAGCUAGAGUGUGGUAGGGGAGAUCGGAAUUCCUGGUGUAGCGGUGAAAUGCGCAGAUAUCAGGAGGAACACCGGUGGGGAAGGCGGAUCUCUGGGCCAUUACUGACGCUGAGGAGCGAAAGCGUGGGGAGCGAACAGGAUUAGAUACCCUGGUAGUCCAAGCCGUAAACGUUGGGAACUANGUGUUGGCGACAUUCCACGUCGUCGGUGCCGCAGCUAACGCAUUAAGUUCCCCGUCCUGGGGAGUACGGCCGCNAGGCUAAAACUCAAAGGAAUUGACGGGGGCCCGCACAAGCAGCGGAGCAUGUGGCUUANUUCGACGCNACGCGAAGAACCUUNCCAAGGCUGACAUAUACCGGAAAGCAUCACAGAUGGUGCCCCCCUUGUGGUCGGUAUACAGGGUGGUGCAUGGCUGUUCGUCAGCUCGUGUCGUGAGAUGUUGGGUUAAGUCCCGCAAAGAGCGCAACCGUGUUCUGUGUUGCCAGCAUGCCCUUCGGGGUGAUGGGGACUCACACGAGACUGUCNGGGUCAACUCGGAGGAAGGUGGGGACGACGUCAAGUUCAUCAUGCCCCUUAUGUCUUGGGCUGCACACGNGCUACAAUGGCCGGUACAAUGAGNNGGGAUGCCGCGAGGCGGAGCGAAUCUCAAAAAGCCGGUCUCAGUUCGGAUUGGGGUCUGCAACUGACCCCAUGAAGUCGGAGUUGCUAGUAAUCGCAGAUCAGCAUUGCUGCGGUGAAUACGUNCCCGGGCCUNGUACACACCACCCGUCACGUCACGAAAGUCGGUAACACCCUAAGCCGGUGNCCCAACCCCUUNUGGGAGG